UACGUAGGGUGCAAGCGUUAAUCGGAAUUACUGGGCGUAAAGCGUGCGCAGGCGGUUUUGUAAGUCUGGCGUGAAAUCCCCGGGCUCAACCUGGGAAUGGCGAUGGAGACUGCAAGGCUAGAGUUUGGCAGAGGGGGGUAGAAUUCCACGUGUAGCAGUGAAAUGCGUAGAUAUGUGGAGGAACACCGAUGGCGAAGGCAGCCCCCUGGGUCAAAACUGACGCUCAUGCACGAAAGCGUGGGGAGCAAACAGG
rnacentral:rRNA from 1 species